GUGGCUGUAGCUCAGUUGGUUAGAGCACCUGGUUGUGGUCCAGGGGGUCAGGGGUUCGAAUCCCCCCAGCCACC
rnacentral:tRNA from 1 species